GAUGAACGCUGGCGGCGUGCCUAAUACAUGCAAGUCGAGCGAACAGAUAAGGAGCUUGCGCCUUUGACGUUAGCGGCGGACGGGUGAGUAACACGUGUGUAACCUCCCUAUAAUACGGGAAUAACUCCGGGAAACCGGGGCUAAUGCCGUAGAACAUCCAGAACCGUAUGGUGCUAAAGAGAGAGAUGGUGGUGCUAGCAGGUAUAGAGGGACCCGGGCCGUAUUGGAUAGUUGGUAAGUUAACGGCUUACCAAGGCAACGAUAGGUAGCCGACCGGAGAGGGUGAUAGCCGACCCUGGAACUGAGCCACGGUCAAGACGACUACGGGAGGCACCAGUCGGGAACCGUCCGCAACGGGCGAAAGCAUGACGGAGCAACGCCGAGUGAGUGAUGACGGCCUUCGGAGCGUAAAACUGUGUUAUGAGGGAAGAACCGAUGUGUCAGUAACUGUGCACGUCGUGACGGUAACUAAUCAGAAAGCAACGGCUAACUACGUG
rnacentral:rRNA from 1 species